rnacentral:lncRNA from 1 species
AUUGCUAGAUCGUCAUCCUGGAUUAGUUUGAAUAGGUGUUGAUACAGAAAAAGAAAAAAAAAAUGAUAUGAAAUAAAAUUAAAAUAGGGCUUUAUGGGUCCAGAUUUAGGGGGAAUUAGAUAAGCUUUGGGAAAAUAAAAAAGAAAUACGAAAGGGUGGGUUUAGGGGGAAGGAGCACGCUUGAACUCAUACCAUCUCGAAAUCAGUUCAGUUCCUAUUGAUUCUUCAUUUAAAUUGGUGUUAUCAAUCCGAGAUCACCGAAUUAUAAAACAUUGUUGUAAAAUGUGUGAUGUUAUUAUUGUCAUGAUCGAUUAAUGGGAGAUACAAAGGCCGUCGACAUUGCAGCGGGAAAAAACUUAGAACGAUCUUGUGAAGGCGGAUGAAGAGCUCUUGGAAAAGCCAAUUUCGAGGGUAAACUUGGACACUGGAAUAUUUGAGCCAUGGAGGCACCAACAAGGACGCACUAAUCAGGUACUUAAAUCUACUUCCUAAAGUCCACUAACGAAUUUCGCAUGCUAUGCUUUUUCGUUGUUUGCAAACAUCAAAAUCAAACGCAUCAAUAACCCACUUACACAAAAUGAUUUUUUCAGUUUAAUAGAUUUUCUUGCCUUGGGUAAUGAAGCUCCAUUUAUUCGUAAAGGUAAUUUUUAUAUCAAGGAAAUAUAAAGUACGCCUGUGGUUUAUAAGUGGGAAAUGAAUCAAAAUGUAAAUAAAAAUUCAAUUUUGCAAUAUUUUAUCCAUGUUUUUUGUAUUUUAUUUCGAAUUAGUAUCCCAAUACACAUGACCAUAAGUUGUAACAGUCGAAAAAGAAUACACUAUUACAUAGUUAAAAAGUUGCGUGCAUUCUAAUAAAGAGUAAGUUAUUACACAUUUCAAAAUUUACGUGUAUUUUGACAAAUUUCCCUUCAUUAGCAAAAACAUGACACGGUUUCUAUGCGGCCAGCCCUCAUAUUGUAGAAAUACGGUUUGCCAAUAAAUAUAUUUUGAUCCUAAUUUUAGAAAAUAUACAAUCUUUAACAUGGAGGUCAUGAAUAUGAAGAAAACAAAAUUGAAAAUUGAAAAAGAUGUUUAUAUUAUGAAAACAUUUGGACAGUUAGUUACAAUUAUUUUUAGAUGGACCACCUAUUUACAUCUAUCUUUAAGAUCGAUGCAUUAUACCUCGGGACCCCAAAUUGUAGAAAUGCGUUCCAGACCGCAUGAAACAUUUUUCCAAAACACAAACCGGUAGCAAGGAAAUAGAAAUUUUGCUUGAGAUUAAUUGGAAAUUAUAAGUAUGGAACUAACUAAAUUUUGAUUUAUUUGUGUAGGUUAGCGCAGUUAUUGUCCGAAGAGAAGAAAAAUCGGAUGCGCAAAUAUUCUAACACCGAAAACGGUAG